rnacentral:tRNA from 1 species
GCGGGUGUGGCGGAACUGGUAGACGCGCCAGGUUUAGGUCCUGGUGGGGAAACCCGUGGAGGUUCGAGUCCUCUCACCCGCA